rnacentral:rRNA from 1 species
UACGAAGGGGGCUAGCGUUGCUCGGAAUCACUGGGCGUAAAGCGCACGUAGGCGGCUUUCUAAGUCAGGGGUGAAAUCCUGGAGCUCAACUCCAGAACUGCCUUUGAUACUGAGAGCUUGAGUUCGGGAGAGGUGAGUGGAACUGCGAGUGUAGAGGUGAAAUUCGUAGAUAUUCGCAAGAACACCAGUGGCGAAGGCGGCUCACUGGCCCGAUACUGACGCUGAG